rnacentral:lncRNA from 1 species
GCAAUUCUCCUGCCUCAGCCUCCCAAGUAGCUGGGAUUACAGAUCAUCUCUCUACUGACCUUUUAGUGGCUUAGCAUUUUGUUGCAAUGCACAAGUGAAGUUGGGAAACAGAGCCAAGUGACAAGCUGUGAAGUAACAGCUCAGCCUUCACAAAGCAAAUGUGCUUUGUGCACUUCCUUGCCAGAGCAGAUGUGGCCUUGGUGGACUGUGGGGAGCAUCAUCUCUCAGGUAAAAAUAAAUUACUAAGAUUAGGACCAAAUGAUGCAAAUCCUUUCAUUUGCAAACAGAUCAUGAACUGGCAGCCAUGUGGAAAGAAGACUAGACUGCGAAUCACUUAGGAUCCCACCCUCGGUUUAGUCUAGAAUACUCUGCGAAUCAGCUUUUUGGCCCUAGGUAGGAAAGAGACAAAUGGAAGCAAAAUAGCAAAAUGGUGAAGAGGAGGGUUCUAGAGGCAGAGAGCCCUGCAGUCCUGAGUCCUGAGUCCACCGUUUAACAGAGUGACUUUGCUCAGCCUGUGGAUUAUAAUGAAACUUGCCUGUUAUAGGAUCCAGUUUUUUAGGUGGUAGCAACAUGCUCAAGGAAGAUGCAGCCCCUUCCUCCAGCCUGAGAGAAUAAAGCAUCAUUGGCUUAUGCCAACCAUGGCAAUCCCAUUCCCCUUUUCUCAUGAUUGAUUUGGGAAUGGGCAAGUGACCCAGUUCUAACCAAUGAGACGAAAGAAAAAGUCUAUUGGUCAGCUUAUCUCAGAAGAUUUUUGUUUCCUGCUAUAAAGAGAAACAGUAAGUUCCUUCCUGCCUGACUUAAAUGCAAUUGUGUGCAAACAUGUUACUUGGAGCUACAGCAACGAUUCUGUGACCAUGAGGCAAUAAGCCAAGGACAAAGGAUAGAAUAGUGAAAAGACAGAGUAUUGGAUUUUUUUUAUGAUAUCAUUGAACUGCUGGACCAAUGUGGAACCAUCUACUUUUAGUCUUUCAUGAUUUGUGAGAUGAUUAAACAUUUCUUUUUUUUAGCCAUUAUUUCUUUUCUGUUACUUGCAACUGAAGACAUCCUACAUAAUACAAACACUAUCCAACUUGGAUUGUAAUUUAUCUAUUUUCAGAUCUGUGUGUUCUGUCUUACUGAUUUUUGUAUUCUUAGCACUGAGUAUAAGGCUGCUACUUAGUAAGACUUCAAUAAAUGACUGUUUAAAAAGG